rnacentral:rRNA from 1 species
AGAGUUUGAUCAUGGCUCAGGACGAACGCUGGCGGCGUGCCUAAUACAUGCAAGUCGAGCGGACCGAAGGGAGCUUGCUCCUUUAGGUUAGCGGCGGACGGGUGAGUAACACGUGGGCAACCUGCCCUGCAGACUGGGAUAACUUCGGGAAACCGGAGCUAAUACCGGAUAACACCGAAAACCGCAUGGUUUUCGGUUGAAAGGCGGCUUUUAGCUGUCACUGCAGGAUGGGCCCGCGGCGCAUUAGCUAGUUGGUGAGGUAACGGCUCACCAAGGCGACGAUGCGUAGCCGACCUGAGAGGGUGACCGGCCACACUGGGACUGAGACACGGCCCAGACUCCUACGGGAGGCAGCAGUAGGGAAUCUUCCGCAAUGGACGAAAGUCUGACGGAGCAACGCCGGCGUG